GGGUUGCUGGAGGUAUCAGAAGUGCGAAUGCUGACAUAAGUAACGAUAAAGCGGGUGAAAAGCCCGCUCGCCGGAAGACCAAGGGUUCCUGUCCAACGUUAAUCGGGGCAGGGUGAGUCGACCCCUAAGGCGAGGCCGAAAGGCGUAGUCGAUGGGAAACGGGUUAAUAUUCCCGUACUUGGUGUUACUGCGAAGGGGGGACGGAGAAGGCUAUGUUGGCCGGGCGACGGUUGUCCCGGUUUAAGCGUGUAGGUGUGUGUUCCAGGUAAAUCCGGUUCACUUUAACACUGAGGCGUGAUGACGAGGCACUACGGUGCUGAAGCAACAAAUGCCCUGCUUCCAGGAAAAGCCUCUAAGCAUCAGGUAACAUCAAAUCGUACCCCAAACCGACACAGGUGGUCAGGUAGAGAAUACCAAGGCGCUUGAGAGAACUCGGGUGAAGGAACUAGGCAAAAUGGUGCCGUAACUUCGGGAGAAGGCACGCUGACA
rnacentral:rRNA from 1 species